CGGGACGGGGUGGAGUAAUGUCUGGGAAACUGCCUGAUGAGGGGGGAUAACUACUGAAACGGUAGCUAAUACCGCAUAACGUCGCAAGACCAAAGAGGGGGACCUUCGGGCCUCUUGCCAUCGGAUGUGCCCAGAUGGGAUUAGCUAGUAGGUGGGGUAACGGCUCACCUAGGCGACGAUCCCUAGCUGGUCUGAGAGGAUGACCAGCCACACUGGAACUGAGACACGGUCCAG
rnacentral:rRNA from 1 species